rnacentral:misc_RNA from 1 species
UUUGCUGCGGAAUAUGAGACUUCAAGAUGGCUGCGCCCUUAAAUGACGAGAUCCAAUCUGUUUCCUACUAUAAUAUUCGACAUGUAUCAUUGCAUGGCUAUGUUGCGCCCUUUAUUUUCAUUUAUAUAGCUUGGUUUUAUACGUGGGCUAAUGUCUAUGGAAUUCAGGAUUACUACGAGGGCGGUUUGAUAGCUUUGGCAAUUAUCGGCUUGGUGCAGAUUCUGACGGCGUUGUUUUGUUUGUGGUCGAUUCAUGUGAGAUGUGCACUCACAUGUUCUAAAGAAACCAGUCCGUUCAAGGCGUCCUGGGUGAAGGUUGUGCCAACACCAAACAAUGGAUCUACAGAACUUAUUCGACUGCAUCACCAAAAGAAGGAGAAAGGGGAGGAGAUAUGGUUCAACUUCCAGAAGACCAAGUACCUGUAUGAUGCGGACGAGCGGAAACAGUUCUACACGUUGUCCUUCCCCGACAACCACAGCAUCAAGUACUACAUGGAGUGGAAGGGCUACCAGGAUGAGGUGGAGAUGAAGGCGGCAGAGUCCAAGUUCGGACUCAACAACAUGACCAUGGACAUCCCCGCGUUCAUGGAGCUGUUCAGUGAGAGGGCCACCGCACCAUUCUUCGUGUUCCAAGUGUUCUGCGUGGGUCUGUGGUGCCUGGACGAGUACUGGUACUACAGUGUGUUUACACUGUUCAUGUUGAUAGCGUUCGAGGCCACGCUCGUACAACAGCAGCUUCGCAACAUGUCGGAGAUCAGGAAGAUGGGGAAUAAACCCUAUGUGAUGCAGGCCUAUCGGAACCGGAAGUGGCUGCGAAUUUUAUCUGAUGAAAUAGUCCCAGGGGACAUAAUCUCAAUAGGGCGAUCUCAGGACGACCGCCUCGUACCAUGUGACAUGCUGCUACUGAGGGGCCCCUGUAUAGUAGAUGAGUCCAUGCUGACAGGGGAGUCGGUGCCCGUCAUGAAGGAGCCGGUGGAGUGCCUGGAUCUGGAUCACAUGUUCGACCUGGAGCAUGACGGCAAGCUGCACGUGCUGUAUGGUGGUACAAAGGUAGUGCAGCACUCGCCCCCCAGCAAGACCGGACCGGGACUCAAAUCCAGUGACAAUGGGUGUAUAGCAUUCGUAUUGCGGCACAGUUUCAACACGUCUCAGGGCAAGCUGCUGCGCACCAUCUUGUACGGUGUGAAGAGAGUGACGGCCAACAACCUCGAGACGUUCUGCUUCAUCCUCUUUCUCCUCAUCUUCGCCGUCACUGCGGCCAGCUAUGUCUGGAUAGAAGGCACCAAGAAUCCUGACCGAAACCGCUACAAGCUGUUCUUGGAGUGUACUCUCAUCCUGACUUCAGUGGUGCCACCGGAGCUGCCCAUAGAACUGUCUCUGGCUGUCAACACAUCGCUACUGGCUCUCACCAAGCUGUAUGUGUACUGCACCGAGCCCUUCCGUAUACCCUUUGCUGGUAAAGUAGACAUCUGCUGUUUUGACAAGACAGGCACGCUCACAAGUGACAACCUGGUGGUGGAGGGUGUUGCUGGUCUCAAUGGGUCCGAGAUCAUCUCAGCACAAGAUGCCCCACUGGAGACGGCACAGGUGAUGGCAACGUGUCACUCUUUGGUUCAGCUGGAUGAUGAGAUGGUAGGCGACCCGCUGGAGAAAGCCACUCUCAAUGCCGUGGAGUGGACACUCACUAAAGGUGAGGCUGUGGUUCCGCAGAAGAAGAAGACACAUGGCAUGAAGAUCUUCCACAGAUUCCACUUCUCCAGUGCCCUGAAGAGAAUGUCCGUGAUUGCUGGUCACACAAUGCCUGGCUCCAUGGAAACAGACUACAUGGCCACAGUAAAGGGAGCACCAGAGACACUUAAACCCAUGUUCAAGAACCCGCCAGCGGACUAUGAUGACGUGUACCUGACCAUGGCCAGGAGAGGUGCUAGAGUGCUGGCCCUUGGAUACAAACGCAUGGGAAGCCUUUCACAUCAAGAGGUGCGGGAGAUGACGCGGGAGGAGGCGGAGUGUCAGCUGGAGUUUGCAGGCUUCAUCAUCAUCUCUUGUCCCCUCAAGGCCGACUCCAAGGCCUCUGUCAAGGAAAUCUACAACGCCUCCCAUGUGGUUGCCAUGAUUACUGGAGACAACCCACUGACAGCCUGCCAUGUUGCCAAGGAGCUGAGAAUCACCCGGCGAGAGACUGUCAUCCUGCAAGGGCCAAAUGAUAAAGCCCGAGGCUGGCACUGGCAGUCAAUCGAUGAUCGUGUUGUCAUCCCAGCCAUACCAAUGGACAUGAAGAAAGAGCUUCUAGCUGCAUACGACCUGUGUCUCACGGGAGAGGCCCUCACUUGGCUGCAGACAGAACACUACAAGCUCCUGAGAAUCGUGCUGCCAAAUACUAAAGUCUUUGCCAGGGUAGCCCCAAAACAAAAGGAGUUCAUAGUUACAGCCCUGAAGGGCAUGGGCUACACCAUUCUCAUGUGUGGAGAUGGAACUAAUGAUGUUGGGGCUCUCAAACACGCUCAUGUUGGUGUUGCACUACUGGCCAACGCUCCAGAGAGGCUGCCCGACAAGAAGAGGAGAAGAGAUGAGAACAGCAGCAGUGUAGAUGGCGAGACCCCCAAUGACAAGCUGCAGAUGAUGAGUCAGCGCGGUGGGGGCAAGGUGUCAGGACGGGCUGCCAAGCAGAGAGCCAUUGCAAGGGGAGAUAACCUCGCUCCUGCACAGAAAAAGCUUGCUGCCAUGUUGAAAGAACUUGAAGAAGAGGAAAAAUCACAGAUUGUUAGACUUGGAGAUGCCAGCAUAGCAUCCCCUUUCACAUCCAAACUAUCCACAGUGGCUAGUGUGUGUCACAUCAUCAAACAAGGGCGAUGUACUCUUGUGACAACCCUGCAGAUGUUUAAGAUCCUGGCCCUGAAUGCCCUGAUCCUGGCUUACAGCCAGAGCGUGCUGUACCUGGACGGCAUCAAGUUCAGUGACGGCCAGGCCACCAUGCAGGGUCUGCUGCUGGCUGGCUGCUUCCUGUUCAUCUCUCGGUCCAAGCCACUGAAGACACUGUCGAAGGAGCGUCCACUGCCAAACAUCUUCAACCUGUACACAAUACUUACAGUGCUGUCUCAGUUUGCUGUACAUUUUAGUAGUUUAGUCUAUUUAGUCGGGGAGGCGCAUCGACACGAUGCAGCAAGAAAAGAAGAGUUUCCAGAUUUAGAAGCAGAGUUCAAGCCAACCAUCUUAAACACAACUGUAUAUAUCAUGUCCAUGGCUUUACAAGUCUCAACAUUUGCUGUCAACUAUAGGGGAGAACCAUUUAUGGAGAGUUUAAAGGACAAUAAACCCCUCCUGUACAGUUUGAUGUUCUCGGGCGGCGCCAUCUUUGCACUGGCAAGUGGACUGCUUCCUGACCUUGCAGACCAGUUUCAACUGGUGGCCUUGCCAGAUGAGUUUCGCAACACAGUUCUUGGUGUCAUAUCGGCCGACAUUGUUUUAGCAUUUGUAGUCGACAGAGUUAUACGAUUUUGCCUAGGAACGGGGAAGUUAAAAUCUACAUAUUAAUUUAUUUUUAUAUAACAUUGCCUUUCACAUGCUUUUAUUAACAUGGCUGUGUCUCAAAUACAGGAUUUCCCCCUAGCCCCUUGAGGUACUGUUUCUCAGUCACACAUCAUUCCUACAUUGACUUUCAUCCUAUGGUUUACAAUGGGGCCAGUUGGUGUUGGAGGUGCACCCGCUCUUCAGAUGCUAAUGUGCUGUCAUGUGGCGUCUCCAUGUGUGUCUGGUGCACUGCACUAAGGAACAUCACAUGAAGCAGUAUACAUUAACUCAAUCAUGCCUCUCUUAUAGAAUAUUAUCCUUAGACUGAGCUGCUUUUGUUGUGCUAUGAAAUCCUGAAUAAGUAUUAUCUGAUACCAGUAUAUUUGAUAAUUCUGUGACGUAACAUGGAUCCCAUGUCAGCUGGAUGACAUCCCAUGUUUGCAAGGUGAUGUCCCAUGUUUGCAAGGUGAUGUCCCAUGUUUGCAAGGUGAUGUCCCAUGUUGCAAGGUGAUGUCCCAUGUUUGAUUGGAUGAAAUCCCAUGUUUGCAAGGUGGUGUCCCAUGUUUGAUUGGAUGACAUCCCAUGUUUGCAAGCUGACAUCCCAUGUUUGCAAGGUGAUGUCCCAUGUUUGCUAGGUGAUGUCCCAUGUUUGCAAGGUGGUGUCCCAUGUUUGAUUGGAUGACAUCCCAUGUUUGCAAGCUGACGUCCCAUGUUUGCAAGCUGACAUCCCAUGUUUGAUUGGAUGACAUCCCAUGUUUGCAAGGUGAUGUCCCAUGUUUGAUUGGAUGACAUCCCAUGUUUGCAAGCUGACGUCCCAUGUUUGCAAGGUGAUGUCCCAUGUUUGAUUGGAUGACAUCCCAUGUUUGCAAGGUAAUUUCCCAUGUUUGCAAGGUGAUGUCCCAGGUUUGACUGGAUGACAUGUCUGCUAGGUGAUGUCCCAUAUUUGAUUGGAUGGCAAUCUGUUGAGAUCUACUACAUGUACAUGUAUAUGCACAUUCAAUUUCAAAUGCAAAAAUCUGUUUGGAAAUUUUUUGUUUGUUUGUAUGACAUAUAGCAAAAUUUGCAGCAGAUUAAACAUCAAUCAACACCUAUGCAUUUCAUAUUUCAUGUGUUAUUUGUAGUUGAGUAGGUGUGGGAAUUAAGAAUCAGUGUCCCUAUUACUGUGGUAUUGUUUGUUAACAAAGCAAAUGUACUGUUCCUGUUAGCCUCAACGGAGAUAUGGGCUUAGUGCUAUCCAAGGGGAGAUAACUUAAUAGGUACCCUGACAGUGGGGAGGAAGCCUGUAUUCGAGACAAAGCUUUCUCCAGUCACCUCAGUGAGAGCCAGAGUUUUGUAACACUAUUUUUGAUUGGGCGGAGAUGUGGAUCUCAAGCAGACCAAUUGAUAGUAUAAGUAACCAUGUGAUUAUGUCAUAAUUGUGAUUGGAUGACAGGCUUGUAUAUUAUAGACCCAGGGACAAAUUCUGACUAUGAAGCAACUGUUUGAUGUCUAUAAUGAGACUUUUGAUGAGGAGCAGGCAACUGUUGAUAGAUGUGAUGCUCUAAUUGUGUAUUCCUGUACCAAUAUGGAAUCACUCUUGAUUUGGCUUUGUUAUUCAUGGAGCUUGAUCUACCAUGUCUCUUAUGUUGAGUUGUUUCCCUUAGACAUGCCAGAAUCCUGUGAUUGAGGGUUGAAAUUCGCACAUCUGCCUGAUUAUGAUUCUUGGUAUCACCAUACACGUCACUGUAUUGGAAAUAUCUUAAGACCUGCAUCAUUUUGAGCUUUCUUAUACAAUAACCUGACGUGCCGUGAUGUAACUGAAAUACUGAUCAAAGUGGGGUCAAAUCAAAUUCACUCACUCUCGAUUACUGUAUCUGUACUAUUCACACAAGGGGUUUCCCAGAAAUGUGGAAGUAGUGGGUCACUGUCUACAUCACUUUCAAGUGAAAGUGUGCUGUUUGCACGUUAUGAACAUCAGUUUUGUUGUCAUGUGCCCAUUAUCUCACUGACAAAGCAUAUGUCGCAUAAACAUUACAUUAAUACAUUAUGCCCUGAUUAGUUCAACUCUGUUCUAAUGUGAUAACAUGUUUGAAUUUGUCUCGUGGGUGACAGUUGAGUGAGUGUAUUGUGUCGUUCCUCGUGUUCACACGUGCGUCCUAUUGAUGUCCACAUGGAGAUAAGGCCCUGCUAGAUGUUAGCAAGAAAUAAGGCUGCAUUGACGCAGAAGUCACAGUAAGAAACGCAUCUUGUUAUAUGACCAGUGGGGACAUUAGCAUUGUCAAAAUAAAUAUUGCCUUGAAUACUCUGACAGUUUAUCCAGUAAAACUGCAUUUCAGGAAAAGAAGUUUUCUUAUCAAAAUAUAUAUAAGCAUUGGAAAAAAGUUCAGAACCAUGUGUCGUAUCAAUAUCUACAUAUGACACAUAUCUCAUUUUUGUAAAGUACCUGUUGAAAAAUUGGUACGAGAGCAGUAAGAUUGUCACUUUGUAAACACGCACAAAUGUGUUUCAUUAUAAUGUUAAUACAGGAAACAAUUUUUUAAAUAGCUACUUUAUGUGCAAGUACGUUGUGACCCAUGUUUAACCUGUUCCCAUGUUUAAGCAUUUUAACCAGUGACUAAAUAUGAGCAACUACACAUGUCUAGGACGUGUUGGGGAAGUUGUUAACGCCAUAGCUAUUUGCAAAACCGACUUUUGUAAUACAUAGUACAUGGUCACAUUGAUGAGUUCUGCAUGAUGAGGUAACAAGCAUCGAGUAUUGUCGUCCCAGGGUCAAGUCUCAGGAUGUGCAGAUGAAUCAUUGACCCAUGUAUAGUGUACUGUGUAUAUGUUUAAGGGAUGACCGAGGGUUGUGUUGGGUGCCUUUGUUCUGGUAUUGUCAGUUGGAUAACUUGACCUGAAUAAACCACUGAACUGGA